rnacentral:rRNA from 1 species
CCCUACGGGGUGCAGCAGGCGAGAAAACUUUGCAAUGUGCGAAAGCACGACAAGGUUAAUCCGAGUGGUUUCUGCUAAAGGAACCUUUUGUCAGUCCUAGAAACACUGAUGAAUAAGGGGUGGGCAAGUUCUGGUGUCAGCCGCCGCGGUAAAACCAGCACCUCAAGUGGUCAGGAUGAUUAUUGGGCCUAAAGCAUCCGUAGCCGGCUUUGUAAGUUUUCGGUUAAAUCCAUGCGCUCAACGUAUGGGCUGCCGGGAAUACUGCAAAGCUAGGGAGUGGGAGAGGUAGACGGUACUCGGUAGGAAGGGGUAAAAUCCUUUGAUCUAUUGAUGACCACCUGUGGCGAAGGCGGUCUACCAGAACACGUCCGACGGUGAGGGAUGAAAGCUGGGGGAGCAAACCGGAUUAGAUACCCGGGUAGUCCCAGCUGUAAACUAUGCAAACUCAGUGAUGCAUUGGCUUGAUGCCAAUGCAGUGCUGCAGGGAAGCCGUUAAGUUUGCCGCCUGGGAAGUACGUACGCAAGUAUGAAACUUAAAGGAAUUGGCGGGGGAGCACCACAAGGGGUGAAGCCUGCGGUUCAAUUGGAGUCAACGCCAGAAAUCUUACCCGGAGAGACAGCAGAAUGAAGGUCAAGCUGAAGACUUUACCAGACAAGCUGAGAAGAAGUGCAUGGCC